GACAUAAAAAAGGUUCAAAAUUGUGCCUUUUAGCAUUUCCUUUACUUGUUCCAUGUGUUUUCUUGAUGUAUGUUCUCUUUGAUGGGUUGAAGGGGUUAGAUUUCACAAUAUCUGAGGCAAGACGACGGUACAAUAUUAAGCUCAUAUUGAGCUCGGUGAACAACUGUGAUAGCUUUGGAGGGAAGAAGCAAUAUGUGAACGAGGCUAGAAGCCAAGGGAAGUACCUCAGUCACAUCAGAUGAUGAUUUCUUUAGGAACUCUGUUGUGAAGGGUUUCUACACAAACCAUGUCAAGGAUAUAGAAGCAAAUGUCAUUACUUGGCAUCUAUACACUUCAGAAAUGUUACUCACCACCUUCAUAAUCAGAUCAAAUAUCGUACUGUAGUCGCCCCAUUGUUUUUCUUCAAUUAUGUGGAGCAUCAUCGUCCACAUCUUGUCGCAAAACAAUUUGAGGCCCUUGAUCAUGUUGACUUGAAUGAUGUUGGAGCUGAUCAGACAGAGAUAAAGUUCAAACAAAAUAAAAUUUUAUUCAUUCCAGUUUUUGAGAAACUCUUGUAGCCUCUAGUAUUCUAUGGCUUGCUAAACCACUAGGGUUGAUCUACUGUAAGGGGAUUUCUCCAAGACCUUGAGGUUAUUUAUAUUAUUCAGUUUUAUUUAAUUCUUUUCAAUUAUGUUCUUGUUCUUGUUUGCUUAAUUCAAGUUUCAUAUACAUGAUUGUUAGUUUUGAUUGA